GCAAGUCGAACGAGAAAGUCUCUGCUUGCAGAGACGAGUAGAGUGGCGCACGGGUGAGUAACACGUGGAUAAUCUACCUUUGAACCUGGGAUAACUAUCUGAAAAGGUAGCUAAUACCGGAUGAUGUUCUAAUUACUUCGGUGAUUGGGAUGAAAGAUGGCCUCUGAUAUAAGCUGUUGUUUGAAGAUGAGUCCGCGCACCAUUAGCUAGCUGGUGGGGUAAUGGCCUACCAAGGCUACGAUGGGUAGCUGGUCUGAGAGGAUGAUC
rnacentral:rRNA from 1 species